GACGAACGCUGGCGGCGUGCUUAACACAUGCAAGUCGAACGGAAAGUCCCUUCUUUUGUUGGUUGCUCGAGUGGCGAACGGUUGAUUAACACGUUAGUAACCUGCCCUUGACUUUGGGAUAACUUCAGGAAACUGGGGCUAAUACCGGAUAGGAUCUCCUGCUGCAUGGUUGGGGUUGGAAAGUUUCGGCGGUUUGUGAUGGACUCGCGGCUUAUCAUCUUUUUUGUGGGGUAGUGGCUUACCAAGGCUUUGACGGGUAGCCGGCCUGAGAGGGUGACCGGCCACAUUGGGACUGAGAUACGGCCCAGACUACUACGGGAGGCAGCAGUGGGGAAUAAUGCACAAUGGGCGGAAGCCUGAUGCAGCAACGCCGCGUGCGGGAUGACGGCCUUCGGGUUGUAAACCGCUUUCGCCGGUGACGAAGCGUGAGUGACGGUAAUGGGUAAAGAAGCACCGGCUAACUACGUG
rnacentral:rRNA from 1 species